UAGGGAAUCUUCGGCAAUGGACGAAAGUCUGACCGAGCAACGCCGCGUGAGUGAAGAAGGUUUUCGGAUCGUAAAACUCUGUUGUUAGAGAAGAACAAGGACGUUAGUAACUGAACGUCCCCUGACGGUAUCUAACCAGAAAGCCACGGCUAACUACGUGCCAGCAGCCGCGGUAAUACGUAGGUGGCAAGCGUUGUCCGGAUUUAUUGGGCGUAAAGCGAGCGCAGGCGGUUUCUUAAGUCUGAUGUGAAAGCCCCCGGCUCAACCGGGGAGGGUAAUUGGAAACUGGGAGACUUGAGUGCAGAAGAGGAGAGUGGAAUUCCAGGUGUAGCGGUGAAAUGCGUAGAUAUAUGGAGGAACACCAGUGGCGAAGGCGGCUCUAUGAUCUGUAACUGAAGCUGAGGCUCGAAAGCGUGGGGAGCAAACAGG
rnacentral:rRNA from 1 species